rnacentral:rRNA from 1 species
AGAAUCAACGCUGGCGGCGUGCCUAACACAUGCAAGUCGAACGAGAAAGUGGGAGCAAUCCCACGAGUAAAGUGGCGCACGGGUGAGUAACACGUGACUAACCUACCCUUGAGUGGGGAAUAACCUAGGGAAACCUGGGCUAAUACCGCAUAAUACCUACGGGUCAAAGGAGCAAUUCGCUUAAGGAGGGGGUCGCGGCAGAUUAGUUAGUUGGCGGGGUAAUGGCCCACCAAGACAGUGAUCUGUA